GACGAACGCUGGCGGCGUGCUUAACACAUGCAAGUCGAACGGAAAGGCCCUGCUUUUGUGGGGUGCUCGAGUGGCGAACGGGUGAGUAGCACGUGAGUAACCUGCCCUUGACUUUGGGAUAACUUCAGGAAACUGGGGCUAAUACCGGAUAGGAGCUCCUGCUGCAUGGUGGGGGUUGGAAAGUUUCGGCGGUUGGGGAUGGACUCGCGGCUUAUCAGCUUGUUGGUGGGGUAGUGGCUUACCAAGGCUUUGACGGGUAGCCGGCCUGAGAGGGUGACCGGCCACAUUGGGACUGAGAUACGGCCCAGACUCCUACGGGAGGCAGCAGUGGGGAAUAUUGCACAAUGGGCGGAAGCCUGAUGCAGCAACGCCGCGUGCGGGAUGACGGCCUUCGGGUUGCAAACCGCUUUCGCCUGUGACGAAGCGUGAGUGACGGUAAUGGGUAAAGAAGCACCGGCUAACUACGUG
rnacentral:rRNA from 1 species